GGGGAGACCCAGAACUGUGGGGUACUGCCAGGGGGCAGCACUCAGUGAAAGGGGCAGCAGGGUCCUGGAAGGGACAUGGGAGCCAGCAGCAAGGCGAGACACUGGCCUGAAGAGGGCGCUCCGGCGGCUGGAAAGCUAAAUCCCAAGGACAACCAGCAGCAGGCACCGCUGGUAACCUGGUCCUGACCCUGAGCUCCGAUUUCUGCCUUCGGCUCUGGCCUCUGGCUCUGACCCUUGGCUCCAAUUUCUGGCUACCAGCUCCUGCUCUAACCACUGGAUAUGACUCCUGCUCCAACCACUCAGCAUGACCACUCACGUCCUGCUCACUGACAUUGGGCCCAUCUCUGAUUGUUCAUCCCAAAAGUACAGCCACAGAGAUUCCCAAAUGAUGCUCGCUAAUGGGAGGCAUUUGCAGUGGUGCUGGAACAAUUUUUACAGUUGGGGUGCUGAAAGUCUGGUCCCCAAACUUUUUACCUUGCCCCUUCUUACCCUGUCUGUGCUCCCUCUCCCCCGAGUUGAGGCCAGGACUGGGCUGUGGAUCGGGGUAAGGUGACUCAGGCUGGGACCACACCU